rnacentral:rRNA from 1 species
UACGUAGGGGGCAAGCGUUGUCCGGAAUUAUUGGGCGUAAAGAGCGUGUAGGCGGCCAGAUAGGUCUGCUGUGAAAUCUCGAGGCUCAACCUCGAGCUGUCGGCGGAAACCAUCUGGCUAGAGUCCGGAAGAGGAGAGUGGAAUUCCUGGUGUAGCGGUGAAAUGCGCAGAUAUCAGGAAGAACACCUAUGGCGAAGGCAGCUCUCUGGGACGGUACUGACGCUGAGACGCGAAAGCGUGGGGAGCGAACAGG